GGUGUACUCCCAGUGCCGGGAGUACAGGAAGGGCAUCCAGCAUAAGAAUCUGUGCCAAAUCACAUGUGCAGACCCCUUAGACAUGCUGUUUGCAUGUUCUCCCGUGUCCAUGUUGUUUCUCUCCAGAUGCCUCCCAGAUGUGCCAAGUCUCUUGCCCUAUGAUAGCUGACAUGGGCUCCAGCUCCCCCACGAACCCGAGUUGGGCGUGACUCUUCACUCUGUGACCAGACGAGCUGGCAGCUUUCACGGCUGUAACAAGAUUGGAACUCGUCCAUGUGGGUCAGAGGAACGAUGGAAAGGUAACAGUCUGGCAGAGAGCAGGUGGAAGUGAGCAGUAUAAGUACUGAGGGGGUGAGUGGAGAUCAAGGAUCAGCUGAGCAGAUCAGGCAGUCUGUAAUUUCUGGCCUUCAUCAACAUCAAAAAAGGGGAAAAAGCUUAUAAGAAUUUUUCAUGACCUUCAAUA